GGGCCCGCACAAGCGGUGGAGCAUGUGGUUUAAUUCGAUGAUACGCGAGGAACCUUACCAGGGCUUAAAUGUAACGGGACAGAUCUAGAGAUAGAUCCUUCUUCGGACUCAUUACAAGGUGCUGCAUGGUUGUCGUCAGCUCGUGCCGUGAGGUGUCAGGUUAAGUCCUAUAACGAGCGCAACCCCCAUCGUUAGUUGCCAACGAGUAAUGUCGGGAACUCUAACGAAACUGCCGGUGCAAACCGUGAGGAAGGUGGGGAUGACGUCAAAUCAUCACGGCCCUUACGUCCUGGGCUACACACGUGCUACAAUGGUCGGUACAGAGAGCAGCCACUACGCGAGUAGGAGCAAAUCUUCAAAGCCGAUCUCAGUUCGGAUCGGAGUCUGCAACUCGACAACAUGAAGUCGGAAUCGCUAGUAA
rnacentral:rRNA from 1 species